rnacentral:misc_RNA from 1 species
GAUGAAGAACGCAGCGAAAUGCGAUAAGUAAUGUGAAUUGCAGAAUUCAGUGAAUCAUCGAAUCUUUGAACGCACCUUGCGCCCUUUGGCCAUUCCGAAGGGCAUGCCUGUUUGAGUAUCAUGAACACCUCAACUCUUUAUGGUUUUCCAUGAUGAGCUUGGACUCUGGGGGUUUUGCUGGCUCACCGUCGGCUCCUCUAAAAUGAAUCAGCUUACCAGUGUUUGGUGGGUAUCAUGGGUGUGAUAACUAUCUACGCUUGUGGUUCUUCCACCGGGUAACCUUCAGCAGUGGAGGUUCGCUGGAGCUCAUAGAUGUCUCUCCUCAGUGAGGACGGCCCUGUGAAUGUUUGAUCUCAAAUCAGGUAGGACUACCCGCUGAACUUAAGCAUAUCAAUAAGCGGAGGA